AUCAACUUUCGAUGGUAGGAUAGAGGCCUACCAUGGUGGUAACGGGUAACGGGGUGUUAGGGCACGACACCGGAGAGGGAGCCUGAGAAACGGCUACCACAUCCNAGGAUGGCAGCAGGCGCGCAAAUUACCCAAUCCCGACACGGGGAGGUAGUGACAAUAAAUAACAAUACGGGGUUCUUUAGGAUCUCGUAAUUGGAAUGAGUACAAUUUAAAUCUCUUAACGAGGAACAAUUGGAGGGCAAGUCUGGUGCCAGCAGCCGCGGUAAUUCCAGCUCCAAUAGCGUAUAUUAAAGUUGUUGCAGUUAAAAAGCUCGUAGUUGAAUUUCGGGGUCAGUAGGCUGGUCGUGCCACCGGUACGUACUGGUCUCACUGAUUCCUCCUUCCUGAAGAACCGUAAUGCCAUUAAUUUGGUGUUGCGGGGAAACAGGACUGUUACUUUGAAAAAAUUAGAGUGUUUAAAGCAAGCUAACGCUUGAAUACAUUAGCAUGGAAUAAUGAAAUAGGACGAUCGAUCCUAUUUUGUUGGUUUCUAGGAUUGACGUAAUGAUUAAUAGGGAUAGUUGGGGGCAUUAGUAUUCAAUUGUCAGAGGUGAAAUUCUUGGAUUUAUUGAAGACUAACUACUGCGAAAGCAUUCGCCAAGGAUGUUUUCAUUAAUCAAGAACGAAAGUUAGGGGAUCGAAGACGAUCAGAUACCGUCGUAGUCUUAACCAUAAACUAUGCCGACUAGGGAUCGGAUGAUGUUAAUUUUAUAAUGACUCAUUCGGCGCCUUACGGGAAACCAAAGUGUUUGGGUUC
rnacentral:rRNA from 1 species